GGCUGAUAGUCCACUAUGUUAUCAAGUUCAAAGCCUAAGAAAUAUUGAACAUUUCCACACAUCAAUGUGGGUACUAUGUUUAAUUUGAGAAUGGCCAACUGUCCUCGAAGUCUCAAUCUCUUUGGAGCCUACCAGCUCCGAGAGAAGUUUGAGGAUGCUGCAACACCCUCCCCUGCAAAUCCAUCUACUCCUCCCACUUCUAUCCUAAUGGGUAUAGUUCUUGGCUGUGCUGAGGAUCUGUAAGGCACCAGAUGUGAAAGUAAGGAAGAGAGAUGGAUGUGGAAGAAAGUCACUGCCCAGAGAAUAAGGAGACCUGGAUUCUAAUCUCAGCUCUGCCAUUAACUAGCUAUGAAACUAUGGCUCAAAAGGGAAUAAGAGAUCAAGGCAAGCAUGGACAUCUUGUACAUGGAAGUGCAGACCAGAACUUGUAUCACAGCCAGUCAUAUCCGGUGCUUUCCAUGCUACUUUUACAUACAUGUAUCCUUAAAUUUGAUCCUCUUCUAGUUUAGUCUAAACUCUUUACUUUGUAACUUCCAAACCUAAAAGGUGCAGCAGACAUUGACAAUCUUAAUUCAUUUGUCAGGUCAUUUGGUUUCUUGGUUUCCUAAGGGACUGUAUCCUUCCUGCCCUGCUAAUGGGGAGACUUUUUUGUUUUUUGUUUUCUGUUUUCCUUAAUAAGUGAGGCCAAGUGCUGUGUGUAACUGUGGGGUGGGCAAAAUUAGGAUUCCUGAAUCACUUCGCUUUUUGUUGCCUUUCUCUUGGGAGAAUGGUUACCAUUGCCGAGAAGCAUAGUUAAAAUUGCUUUUGUGUUUCAUAAACGAAUUCAUACUUAGAUGUCAUUGACCAACAACUAAAUAGUAUAUCAGAGAUGAAAGGCAUCCUAGAGAUGACCAAAUCAAGCUCUUCAUUACUCAAAGGAGAAAAAAAUCCAGAAAGUGGAUGACAUAUGUUGAACUAGUGAUGGAAGUAGAACAGGGUAGUGUAUUUUCUGCCUCUUAAUUCUUCAUUUUUUACAGUAAACCUGAUAUUAGGUAUAUGACUAGGAAGAUAUGUGAGGUAAGGAGCAGAGGGUUUGGCUCCAAAAUCAUCAUGUAAUCAUCCUCCUCCAAGCUCUGAGAGCUUCUCUCACAUGUUAAUUCAGAGGCAGUAACAAAAGAAUUAAUGCUCCUGAAGGUUUCUCAAUUUUAUCAUCUGGAAAGUGGAGUGAAUCUUUGCAGAGCCCUUCUGAAGAGGGCCGACCUUGGACUGCACUAGGUUAUAUUCAUUUGCUAUUACUCAGCAAUAAAAAGUAAAUGCAACAAUAUAAA